rnacentral:rRNA from 1 species
AGAAUCAACGCUGGCGGCGUGCCUAACACAUGCAAGUCGAACGAGAAAGGGGAGCAAUCCCUGAGUACAGUGGCGACCGGGUGAGUAACACGUGACCAAUCUACCUUCGAGUGGGGGAUAACUCCGGGAAACCGGGGCUAAUACCGCAUAACAUCUUUGGAAUGCAAAUUCCGAUGAUCAAAGGAGCAAUUCGCUUGAAGAGGAGGUCGCGGCUGAUUAGCUAGUUGGCGGGGUAAUGGCCCACCAAGGCGAAGAUCGGUA